UCAACGGAGAGUUUGAUCCUGGCUCAGGACGAACGCUGGCGGCGUGCUUAACACAUGCAAGUCGAGCGGUAAGGCCCUUCGGGGUACACGAGCGGCGAACGGGUGAGUAACACGUGGGUGA
rnacentral:rRNA from 2 species